UACGAAGGGUGCAAGCGUUGCUCGGAAUUAUUGGGCGUAAAGCGCACGUAGGCGGCUUUAUAAGUUGGAUGUGAAAACCCUCGGCUCAACCAAGGAAGUGCAUCCAAAACUGCAGAGCUUGAGUACUUAAGAGGAUCGCGGAAUUCCCGGUGUAGAGGUGAAAUUCGUAGAUAUCGGGAGGAACACCAGUGGCGAAGGCGGCGAUCUGGGAAGAUACUGACGCUGAGGUGCGAAAGCGUGGGGAGCAAACAGG
rnacentral:rRNA from 1 species